AUGUGCCCCUGGUGCACUCCGAUUCCGGGCGUGCCGUCCGCCCCCACCUGACGACUGCUCGCUACGUUUUGUUGGCC
rnacentral:sRNA from 1 species